CCUACGGGCGGCUGCAGUGGGGAAUAUUGCACAAUGGGCGCAAGCCUGAUGCAGCCAUGCCGCGUGUGUGAAGAAGGCCUUCGGGUUGUAAAGCACUUUCAGCGGGGAGGAAGGCGUUAAGGUUAAUAACCUUGUCGAUUGACGUUACCCGCAGAAGAAGCACCGGCUAACUCCGUGCCAGCAGCCGCGGUAAUACGGAGGGUGCAAGCGUUAAUCGGAAUUACUGGGCGUAAAGCGCACGCAGGCGGUCUGUCAAGUCGGAUGUGAAAGCCCCGGGCUCAACCUGGGAACUGCAUUCGAAACUGGCAGGCUAGAGUAUGGUAGAGGGGGGUAGAAUUCCAGGUGUAGCGGUGAAAUGCGUAGAAAUCUGGAGGAAUACCGGUGGCGAAGGCGGCCCCCUGGACAAAGACUGACGCUCAGGUGCGAAAGCGUGGGGAGCAAACAGGAUUAGAUACCCGAGUAGUC
rnacentral:rRNA from 1 species